rnacentral:rRNA from 1 species
UGGGGAAUAUUGCGCAAUGGGGGGAACCCUGACCCAGCGACGCCGCGUGAGGGAAGACGGCCUUCGGGUUGUAAACCUCUUUUGUACGGGAAGAAGGAAGUGACGGUACUGUACGAAUAAGUCCCGGCUAACUACGUGCCAGCAGCCGCGGUAAUACGUAGGGGACGAGCGUUGUCCGGAAUUACUGGGCGUAAAGGGCGCGCAGGCUGUGCUGCAAGUCAGCUGUGAAAUAUCUGGGCUUAACCUGGAUAUGCGGUUGAGACUGCAGUGCUGGAGUGCUGUAGAGGCAAGUGGAAUUCCCAGUGUAGCGGUGAAAUGCGUAGAUAUUGGGAAGAACACCGGUGGCGAAGGCGACUUGCUGGGCAGCAACUGACGCUGAGGCGCGAAAGCCAGGGGAGCAAACG